AAUUACAUUAAUAAUCAUUUUAAUCACAGUUGAAUUGGGUCGACCGACGAAAACAAAAUAAGGCUACGGGCCAUGCAGACGUGAAUUUAGAGCGUCUUACCAAUUUCUUAUGUCAUUGAAUUUGCAAGCUAUGUUUAGUGAACAAAUUUUUAAGUUCUCACUCUUGCCAUAUGUGAUUAUACAGAAAGCAAACAAUAUCAGAUACGACAGAGAAAUGUAUUUUUACUCUCGUGUGCGCGAUAUUUUGAGUUUCCCACAUCUGCAUGAUCGCACCUGCACGAGCAUGAUGAUGUCAGAAAUCACUCAUAGCUCUAAAUUCGUGUCUGCAUGGCCGUAGCCUAAGAUCCCUUUGCUUAGAUAUCAAUAAGUUCAGUUACAGCC
rnacentral:lncRNA from 1 species